CAAAGGCCCCAAAGGAAGCCACGGCUAACUCUGUGCCAGCAGCCGCGGUAAUACAGAGGUGGCAAGCGUUGUUCGGUAUUAUUGGGCGUAAAGAGCACGUAGGUGGUUCUGUAAGUCAGAUGUGAAAGCCUUCUGUUCAAAGGAAGAACGGCAUCUGAAACUACAGAUCUUGAGUGUAGGAGGGGAGAGUGGAACUUCUGGUGGAGCGGUGAAAUGCGUAGGUAUCAGAAGGAACGUCGGCGGCGAAAGCGACUCUCUGGCCUAUUACUGACACUGAGUGUGCGAAAGUUAGGGGAGCAAACGGGAUUAGAUACCCCGGUAGUCCUAACUGUAAA
rnacentral:rRNA from 1 species